CAGGAUUCUGUGUGUCUGUGGCAGAAAUCCACCAAGCUGUCAAGAAUCUCAUCCGGAGAUGAUGUUCUGGAGAAGGAUGAUAAAGAUGAUGACCAGAAGAGCGGCUCUGAGGGAGGAGACAAUGACAUCAUCCAAACACCACUGACAGUAAGAAGCAGCUGCUGAUAGAAGAACGUUAAUGGAAGAAUGUUCUUUGUAAGUGUGACAGAAAAGUGAAUCUGCAACACGAGCUCUCUUCAGUGCCACCUGCUGGCUGCCACCGUCACCUCCUCUCGUG